GGGCGAUUAGCUCAGUUGGGAGAGCGCCUGCCUUACAAGCAGGAUGUCGGCGGUUCAAGCCCGUCAUUGCCCA
rnacentral:tRNA from 1 species